AAUGAACGUUGGCGGCGUGGAUUAGGCAUGCAAGUCGAGCGUACCCAGCAAUGGGGAAGCGGCAAACGGGGUAGUAAUGCGUCGGUACGUGCCCUGGGGACGGGGAUAGCCACGGGAAACUGUGGGUAAUACCCGAUGAUCUCGAGAGAGCAAAGGUGUGAUUCCGCCCUUGGAGCGGCCGACGUGGUAUUAGGUAGUUGGCGGGGUAAUGGCCCACCAAGCCUGGGAUGCCUAGGGGGUGUGAGAGCAUGGCCCCCACCAUUGGGACUGAGACACUGCCCAGACACCUACGGGUGGCUGCAGUCGAGGAUCUUCGGCAAUGGGCGCAAGCCUGACCGAGCGACGCCGCGUGCGGGAUGAAGGCCUUCGGGUUGUAAGCCGCUGUCAGAGGGGAUGAAAUCACGGUGGGUUCUCCCACCGUGUUGACAGAGCCUCAGAGGAAGCGCGGGCUAAGUUCGUGCCAGCAGCCGCGGUAAAAC
rnacentral:rRNA from 1 species